UAAGGAAUAUUGGGCAAUGGACGAAAGUCUGACCCAGCCAUGCCGCGUGAAGGAUGAAGGUCCUCUGGAUUGUAAACUUCUUUUAUCUGGGGCGAAAACCAUCCUUUCUAGGAUGCUUGACAGUACCAGAGGAAUAAGCACCGGCUAACUCCGUGCCAGCAGCCGCGGUAAUACGGAGGGUGCAAGCGUUAUCCGGAUUUACUGGGUUUAAAGGGUGCGUAGGCGGGCAGGUAAGUCAGUGGUGAAAUCCCCGAGCUUAACUCGGGAACUGCCGUUGAUACUAUCUGUCUUGAAUAUCGUGGAGGUAAGCGGAAUAUGUCAUGUAGCGGUGAAAUGCUUAGAUAUGACAUAGAACACCAAUUGCGAAGGCAGCUUGCUACACUAUUAUUGACGCUGAGGCACGAAAGCGUGGGGAUCAAACAGG
rnacentral:rRNA from 1 species